UUAAAUCUGUUUUUUUCUUUUAAAGUGGUAAAGUUCAAAAGCCUUAAAAUAGAGUAAAAACAAAGCACAAAGUGAGGACCGCUCACUUUGUGUGUGUAGUGCAUAUGAGUUACUACUAUCAGCACCGAGGUGUCGCCUGUGCACACUUCCUGUCUCCAGAAAUCUUUCACACCUUCAGAAAAUGGAAAAGAACCAUGUGAUGAAACAUUAUUUUGUUUGCUUGCUACAUAAGUUUGUUAAAGCGAGCUGGCUGAUAUGAGACGCAAGCGCCUGCUGUUUGCAGGUGUCUGUUUAUAGAAUAAGGAAAUGAUACAACUGACCUUGUUUUACUGCUCUCUCACCACACAGCCGGCACUCUGUACUGAUCUAAAGACAAACUAAAACCAAUCUAAACUUAUCUCAGAGAAGUUAUCGAGCUUUAUGUAUUUUUGGACUAAUAAAAUUAACUAAUCCGACAGCAGUAACUGUGAAAGGCUGAACGUUGCUCACUGCUGCUGCUGCUGCUGCUGCUGCUGCUAUCUUCACACGUUUCACUACCAGGUUCCGUGUUGUGAGUUUGCUUCUUCUCUUUCCAGCAGAGUUGUGUGGGCUCAUCAGUACACAGGUUAUAUCAGUAACAGGAACUGAAGGACGAGGCAUCACAGUGCGAUGCCACUUUUCUGUCUCUGGAAGCAGGAAGUUCUUCUGUAAGGGAAAUUGCAAUCCAGGCAAUGUUCUUAUUGAAACAUCUGAGACAAAAGCACAAAAAGGCAAAUAUAGCAUUGAAUAUGGAGGUACAGUGAGUUAUCCUGUCCUGUAUGUGACCAUCAAACCACUGACCAAGUCUGACGCUGGGCGUUACAAGUGUGGUAUGAGCAGAUUGUUCGUGGAUUCAGAACAGGAGGUCCAACUCAUUGUUAAAGCUGUUCCAACUACCAGCUCACCCAGCUCAACACCUUCGAUCACUCUGUCUCCAAGCACCAUGCAAGUAAGCAUAGCAGACUCGGUCUCCGACACACGCUCAGAGCACUUCCUGCCUCUGGUUGUAUGUGUGCCUGUGGUCGUUUUGGUGUUGGCAGCCGUUCUCUUCCUCCGCUGCAAAAAGAAGACACAAAGGAAGGUUGAUGGAGUAACCCUUGAUUACAGAAACACAAAGGUACCGCUUAACUUUAUUUAUUGUUUUUACUGUCAUGUUGACCAUGUGCACAAUAUUUUUUUACAUUUUUUUUCCUGAACCUAAUCACCGCCUAAACCCACCAGAAAAGUCAGCUUUACAAAAAUCAGAAAAGCAAAUCCCUCCAACCUUCAACUGACAGGCUCAGUGCAGUAACACAAUGUGUUUUAGAUACUUGUAAUAAAAUCUGUCUGAAACUCAGAGAGUGUGAGAAUUUUAUUUAUUUGUAUCUCCAUCUAUGCAAAAAUGUAGCACAAUCACAGAGGUGUUUAUUAGAAAUGACAUCCUCAGCUCUAAGCAUAUGUGAAUGUAUCUGUUCCAUGAAAUACAGAGUAAACAGAACCACAGCAAAGCUUAAUUUUACUAUAAAACCAACAGAACAAAGAGAAGCUGGCAGCUCACCAUGCUGCCCGUGCAUCUUAUCUCAGAGGGAUGCCACUCCCCGUGUAGCUCCAUUCACACACAGUUGUCACCACUAGAUGGCAACACAAGCAGGAUUAUCUGAAGAGCUGGGCAGCGUUAAAGGAAACUUAAAAUUGAACCUUAUGAAAACUGCGUUUUUCACACACGUGAAGACGCCAUCUACGAGAGCCUCGAUCCAAUCAGCAGGGAUCAGGACCCAACCUACUCCACACUCUCACACACUCACACGACUCACAAGGGGAUUCAAGAGUGAUUACAAUUAUCUGUGAAAAAUGCAUGUUUUAUAUAGUUUUAUACCCAUGUGUAUGAUCAUACGUCUUAUACAAAUAAAUAAAGAAAUAUAAGCUACAUGUAGGUCAUGGAUGUCAACCUCAGUUUGUGUUUGGGACACAUGAGGAAGUGAUAUUCCUAAAUACAAUUUGGUCCACAGAAAUGAUCCAACACCCUCGUGAGCUUCAGCACACCUGUUGGCACAUUUUGAAGUAAUAGUGAGUUUGUUUUUGGCCUCCUGUAACAAACACACUUGUUUAACAAACUGUGUGUACCUUCUGCGACACUGACACUGACAUCUUUCCUUCUCUUAUGACUUGCUGUGACUUUUUACGUUUACUGUUUAUUUUUAUUUUACUACUUUUUCCAGAUUCUAAGCUUUGAUUCAUGUUCUGAUAUUUUGAGUAGUAUUAGGUUCAUUUUCAUUUUAUUUUAUUAUUUUAGUCUUAAGUCACCUUGACUGGGCUUCACAUGCUGUCAUUCAGUACCCUGCAUAAUAAAAAAUGUUGAUUUAAAAUCAUAUUUCAUUGACAGAAACAAACUGAUUCUAAACUCGUCAGACAAAACAAAUUAGCAAGUGACUCCUAUACACACAGGAAGGAGCGCACUGUCCUCAAAGACACUAACAUGCUCUUGUCUACAACAGUGUACAUAUGUAAAUGGAC
ensembl:lncRNA